rnacentral:lncRNA from 1 species
GUGAAGGCCACUUGGGUCUGGCAAGUUGGAGACCACCCCUGUGAAAUUGAAAUGUUAAUGCCUUGAGAGCUCUUUCUCCACCUUUAUCAAAAUUACCUGCUCCUGCUCCAACCUGUUGCUAAGGUAACCUGUUCCAGGGAUUAUUCCUCCCUACAGGGAGUUGUAAAAGUUGUUAAUUAAUGCAUGGGCCCCCCUUCCUGCCUGGAUCACUCUACUUUGGCCCAUCUAACCCAUCUGCUUCUCACCUUUUGGCCAUUCCAUAGGAGCAUCUCCUGAACCUAGUAUGCUCCUGAGCCUAGUCAUGUAUACAGGAAGGAGAGAGAUAAGAAGGAAGAGAGCAGGAGAACAAAGAAAAUCUAGGAUGUAUAAAAGGCAGUAUGCUCUCAUUUCUUGGGAUACCAGCUCUGGCCUCUUCAUCCAUCCCAGAAGAAGUCUGUAUUACCUCUUUUUAAAUAAACCUUGCUUUGUAUGCUUGCCUCUGCAUGCUUCUCUAAUGUUAUACUUAAACACGUGAGGAAGCAGAACUUGUCAUCAAUACCAGUGAUAUCAGUGUGACCUCUCCAAGACUUGCCAGCCUUCCCCAUCCAGAAUCCAGCUAAGCUCCAGGAGUGAUGUCAAGGAGGCCUCUGGGAAAUCAAAAAUCAGAGUUCUCCAAGCACAUGUACUCAAACUCAUACACUCAACUCCCAGAAAAGGUCUUAAUCCCAUUAAACAUUUUGUAUUAUGAGGGCUGGAGACAACUCAGUUGGUAGAGUACUUGCCUAGCAUGCAUGAAGCCCUGGUUUCAUUCAUAUCCAGUCACAACAACAACAAAAAAACAACCUCUUUUUUAUGAAAGAGUACCUGUAAAAAUCAUUAAGAAUACAAUUAGAACUGAAGUUGUGGCAGUGGGGACUUAAAAGUCUGAUGUCAUCCUGCUGUCAGUCAAAAGUCAAGAGGUGGACCUGGGCAGGACUCUGGAAAUGUUUCUGGGACCCCUAAUAAAAUUGGAGUGUAGGGGAGGCACAUUGUCCCUUUUCUGAGAGGAUUCACUCUCUCCCCUUGAGAGUGUUCCCUUUAAUAAACUCAUUCCUGUUACUUUGAUCGACAUGUCUGAAAUCUUUCUGAAUUGAUUCCAAAAAUUGGGGUUUGAAGUAGGGUCUUCAUGCUGCCCCAGUUUCCU